rnacentral:rRNA from 1 species
GAUGAACGCUGGCGGCGUGCCUAAUACAUGCAAGUCGAACGCUCAAGGGGGAGCUUUCUUCUCUGGAUGAGUUGCGAACGGGGGAGUAACGCGUAUGUAACCUGCCUGUAAACGGGGGGUAACUAUUGGAGACGAUAGCUAUUACCGCAUAAAAUUUACUAAUCCAUGAUAGUCAGUUGAAAGGUGCAGCUGUACCACUACCAGAUGUACCUUCGUUGUAUUAGCUAGUUGGUGGGGUAACGGCUCCCCAAGACGACGAUACAUAGUCGACCUGAGAGGGGGGUCGGCCAACCUGGGAAUGAGACACGGCCCCGAACUCUUAGGGAGGGAGCAGUAGGGAAUCUUACGGCAUAGGCGGAAGUCUUAACGAGGAAAGCCGGGGGAGGGAAGGAGGGUUUCGGGUUGUAAAGAUCUGUUGUUAGGGAAGAAAGAGUGUGGGAAUUGAAAGUUCACAUUGUGACGGUACCUAAUCAGAAAGGGACGGCUAACUACGUG